rnacentral:rRNA from 1 species
UACAGAGGGGGCAAGCGUUGUUCGGAAUUACUGGGCGUAAAGGGCGCGUAGGCGGCCUGUUAAGUCGAACGUGAAAUCCCCGGGCUCAACCCGGGAACUGCGUCCGAUACUGGCAGGCUUGAAUCCGGGAGAGGGGUGCGGAAUUCCAGGUGUAGCGGUGAAAUGCGCAGAUAUCAGGAGGAACACCAAUGGCGAAGGCAGCACUCUGGGACGUGACUGACGCUGAGACGCGAAAGCGUGGGGAGCAAACAGG